GAUGAAGAACGCAGCGAAAUGCGAUAAGUAAUGUGAAUUGCAGAAUUCAGUGAAUCAUCGAAUCUUUGAACGCAUAUUGCGCCCCUUGGUUAUUCCGGGGGGCACACCUGUUCGAGCGUCAUUUCAACCCUCAAGCUCCCCGGAGUUUGGCGUUGGGGCGCCUGGAGUUUUUCAACCUCAGGGCCCUCAAGUCCAUCGGCGGGACCGCCCGGACACUGAGCGCAGUAGUACUAUUUCGCUCGGUGGAAUCAUCCGCGGCGGGUCGAUCCGGCCGCUAAAUCCCCCAAAUCUAACCAAAGGUUGACCUCGGAUCAGGUAGGAAUACCCGCUGAACUUAAGCAUAUCAAUAAGCGGAGGA
rnacentral:misc_RNA from 1 species